GCAUAACGCGAAGAACCUUACCCAGGCUUGACAUCCUGCUAAAGACCCCGAAAGGGGACUGUGCCUUCGGGCCGCAGUGACAGGUGAUGCAUGGCCGUCGUCAGCUCGUGUCGUGAGAUGUUUGGUUAAGUCCGUCAACGAGCGCAACCCUUAUAGUUAGUUGUAUUUCUCUAGCUAGACCGCCCUGGUAACAGGGAGGAAGGAGGGGAUGAUGUCAGGUCAGUAUUUCCCUUACGUCUGGGGCUACAAACACGCUACAAUGGCCGGUACAAAGGGCAGCCAACCCGCGAGGGGGAGCAAAUCCCAUCAAAGCCGGUCUCAGUUCGGAUAGCAGGCUGAAACUCGCCUGCUUGAAGCUGGAAUCGCUAGUAAUGGUAGGUCAGCACACUACCGUGAAUACGUUCCCGGGUCUUGUACACACCGAGUCUUGUACACACCGGGUCUUGUACACACCG
rnacentral:rRNA from 1 species